GACAACACACCCCAAAUGAUGAUCUGAGUUGCUAGGAAAGAAACCUGAGGUUGACAUUGAGCACACCAUCUUCUUUGUCACCAUCCAGAGAAUCUACAAAGAACCAGCUAUUUCAGAGAAAGGAAAUUUCAGAACCAGAAUCCUGCUCUGGAAUUCCAUCUCCUGCAUUUCUAGCAUGGAGCUAGAACAAUUGAGUUCUCGAAGUCCUCUCUUGAGGCCAGGGUUGUGGCUCAGCGGUAGAGCACUAGCCUAGCACAUGUGAGGUGUUGGGCUCAAUAUUCA
rnacentral:lncRNA from 1 species